rnacentral:ncRNA from 1 species
AAGACUGCUCUAGCUUGUUCCCUGCCAGGCCACCCAGCUGACAAGGAUUUGUCACCCACAGUAGUGCAGGACUUGCAGCUCCAAGUGCCAGCUGGAGAGUCACACCAGGGCAGUAUACCUAUCCAACCAAAGUGCGCUCUCUGAGGGUCAGUCCAGGGAAGAUGGAAAUCUCCCGUGGAGGAGAAGGGUAAAAGCUCACCUGAUAUUAAUUUUCAGUUUGUUUUGUGAAAGACGGGCUUUACAGUAUUUCCAACCUUUUGUUUAGUAAGCAGGAGAUGUCAAGGAUGACAGGUAGUCCAAGUGCUUAUAAUGACACAAAAAUGGAAAAUUGAACUUUAAAAUUGCUUUUUUGUCUUUGUGCCUGCUCUUAUUUUCAGUGUGAGGCAGAAUUCACCAAGCUCUGGACUGUUCCCCUGCUAACAAGGAAUGUGACUUGGCUUUUGGCUGUUGUAAGAAUGCUUAGUU